rnacentral:rRNA from 1 species
UACGUAGGGGGCGAGCGUUGUUCGGAAUUAUUGGGCGUAAAGGGCGCGUAGGCGGUGCCACAAGUCACUUGUGAAAUCCCCGGGCUUAACUCGGGGCCUGCAGGCGAAACUGUGGUGCUGGAGUGUGGGAGAGGUGCGUGGAAUUCCCGGUGUAGCGGUGAAAUGCGCAGAUAUCAGGAAGAACACCCGUGGCUAAGGCGGCUCUCUAGUACGGUACUGACGCUGAGACGCGAAAGCGUGGGGAGCGAACAGG